GAUGAACGCUAGCGGCAGGCCUAAUACAUGCAAGCCGAGGGAGAAUGUUGGAUUCGUCUGACAUGAAACCGGCGCACGGGGGCGUAACACGUAUGCAACCUACCUUUAACUGGGGUAUAGCUCAGAGAAAUCUGAAUUAAUCCCCCAUAAGACUACGACAUGGCAUCAUGAUGUAGUUAAAGCUCCGGCGGUUAAGGAUGGGCAUGCGGUACAUUAGCUAGUUGGUGAGGUAAUGGCUCACCAAGGCUACGAUGUAUAGGGGGUCUGAGAGGAUGAUCCCCCACACUGGUACUGAGACACGGACCAGACUCCUACGGGAGGCAGCAGUAGGGAAUAUUGGUCAAUGGACGCAAGUCUGAACCAGCCAUGCCGCGUGAAGGAUGAAGGCCCUAUGGGUCGUAAACUUCUUUUAUUAGGGAAGAAAAAACGGGAUGCGUCCUGUACUGACGGUGCUUAAUGAAUAAGGAUCGGCUAACUUCGUGCCAGCCGCCGCCGUAA
rnacentral:rRNA from 1 species